rnacentral:rRNA from 1 species
AUUGAACGCUGGCGGCAGGCCUAACACAUGCAAGUCGAGCGGAUGAAGGGAGCUUGCUCCUGGAUUCAGCGGCGGACGAGUGAGUAAUGCCUAGGAAUCUGCCUGGUAGUGGGGGAUAACGUCCGGAAACGGGCGCUAAUACCGCAUACGUCCUGAGGGAGAAAGUGGGGGAUCUUCGGGCCUCACGCUAUCAGAUGAGCCUAGGUCGGAUUAGCUAGUUGGUGGGGUAAAGGCCUACCAAGGCGACGAUCCGUAACUGGUCUGAGAGGAUGAUCAGUCACACUGGAACUGAGACACGGUCCAGACUCCUACGGGAGGCAGCAGUGGGGAAUAUUGGACAAUGGGCGAAAGCCUGAUCCAGCCAUGCCGCGUGUGUGAAGAAGGUCUUCGGAUUGUAAAGCACUUUAAGUUGGGAGGAAGGGCAGUAAGUUAAUACCUUGCUGUUUUGACGUUACCAACAGAAUAAGCACCGGCUAACUUCGUG